ensembl:lncRNA
UAACAUUUUGUAGUCACAGACCCUCAGUGAAGCCUCUGCCUUCCAUUCCUGUUAAGUCACUUGGAGGGACAGGCAGUUUUUCCUCCCCGUGCUGAUCUCAACAGCCCUCCUAGUGAAUUGGUUUGCAUGGUUUAGAAGAUGAAGUGAUGGAGGAAAAAUUGUGCUAUGUGAUGCUUCCUUCAGAUGACAGCAAGCUGCCAAUAAGCCAGGUUAUCUGCUGUAGGCUUCCAGGAGUUAAUAACUUCAGAAGGCAUUACCUUAAUUCAGCUAGUUGCUUCCUAACCAAGUGGAAGGUUGCUAGAUGAAGAUUCACUGCAGUGAUCUUUUAAGAAAAAAAGAAAAGAAAAGAAAAGAAAAGAAAAGAAAAGAAAAGAAAGAAAGAAAGAAAGAAAGAAAGAAAGAAAGAAAGAAAGAAAGAAAGAAAGAAAGAAAGAAAGAAAGAAAGAAAGAAAGAAAGAAAGAAAGAAAGAAAGAAAGAAAGAGAAAUCAUCAGAAAAAAAGAAAGAUGUCUUGUUUCAUUGGUGAGACAUAAACAGAACUGGCUAUGGGUGCUCUACUUCUCCCAUCAUAUCAACAUUUUGCUUAUAGCAAGACACACAGGAAGUCACUUUAAAAUAAAAAAAAAAAAAAUACCUGUCUAGUUGCUGCAACGAUCAUUUGUCAAGACAAGAAUGCUGUGGAGGGAAACUCUGACCUCUAAACCUGCAACAACAACAAAAGCCAGUGUUUUAAAAAGUUAUUUUGAAGCCUAAAUAAACCUUGACAGACUCC